rnacentral:misc_RNA from 1 species
GUGAAUCAUCGAAUCUUUGAACGCAAAUUGCACUCUCUGGUAUUCCGGAGAGUAUGCCUGUUUGAGGGUCAGAUUAAAUAAAAAUAGGUGUGGUUGCUGGCUUUUGUGGUGACGAAACGGAUUUGGGUAGUCUUGCCUUCGGCUAAGUGACCUCAAAUUUUGCAUGAUUUUUUUCGAGCGUAUUUAAAAGAAUUUAAGUACGUUUGUGAUAUUGAAUACUAGGUGUGGUCAUUCUCAUGAAUCGCGCCUAUAAUUUUUCAUUAAAUUGCACUCAA